GCCUGGCUGGCUCAAUUGGAAGAGCAUGUGACUCUUGAUCUCAGGGUUGUGGGUUUGAGCCCCAUGUUGGAUA
rnacentral:tRNA from 1 species